CGGGUGAGUAACACGUGGAUCAUCUACCUUCUAGUGGGGAAUACCGUUGGGAAACCGACGACAAUACCGCAUAAGCUCGAGAGAGGAAAGCCGCAAGGCGCUGGAAGAGGAGUCCGCGGCUGAUUAGCUAGUUGGUGAGGUAAUGGCUCACCAAGGCUCAGAUCAGUAGCCGGCCUGAGAGGGCACACGGCCACACUGGCACUGAAACACGGGCCAG
rnacentral:rRNA from 1 species